UACGUAGGGGGCAAGCGUUGUCCGGAAUCAUUGGGCGUAAAGCGCGUGUAGGCGGCUCGAUAAGUCUGCUGUGAAAGUUCAGGGCUCAACCCUGAAAUGCCGGUGGAAACUGUCGAGCUAGAGUCCGGAAGAGGCGAGUGGAAUUCCUGGUGUAGCGGUGAAAUGCGUAGAUAUGCGGAGGAACACCGAUGGCGAAGGCGGGUCUCUGGGCCGAUACUGACGCUGAGGAGCGAAAGCGUGGGGAGCGAACAGG
rnacentral:rRNA from 1 species